CCCUCGCCCCUUCAGCUCGUUUCUUCUUGCUGCCCUGGCGGGGGCCCUGAUUGCCAAGGCCAUGGUUGAGUCCUCGUCCAGUGCCUACCGCGGGCAGAGCUUACAGGGACGUCUGCCUCCCUCAGGUACCUCCUGCCCCAGGCCCAGGUCGUGGGAGCUCCCCACCCCUCCAGAUCCACCAUCCCAGAGCCUUCUCCUCACUGCAACAUAUUGGGAUCCAUCGGAGGGUCGUUUGCGGGGAGAAGGAGUUCCAGUAUGGAGGACAACCACAGCAGGAUGGACAGACAAAAGUAGUAAGGCCUGCUCCCGCCCAGCAGAACUUUAAAUUAGCCUUGGGGAAACAGGACAUGAAGAGGUGGCUGAAUGCUUACUGUGUGCUAGGCCUCGUAAUGAAGUGUCAUUUAUCCUCACCACAGCCCAGUGAGGCUGGUGCUGUCGUCCCCAUUUUACAGAUGAAGUGAGCACAGAGGGCUAAAGUGGUUUGUUCAAGGGCACAGAGGUAGGAAGAGUGGAACCACGUUCAAGCCCAGUAGCCUACUUCCUCAGAACCACCCUGUGGCUGGAGCGCAAGGGGUAAAGCAGGGAGGGGCUGUUCUCCAAAGGACUGGCUACUGUGACCAAAGAGAAGGGAGAAUGGAUGCUGGAGGCAAGCCAGGGGACACUCCUAGCAGCAGUCCCAGGAGAUAGCUGCCGUCGCUGCCCUUGUUUUAUAAAGGCAGAGGGUGAGGCUUACAGAGUUUGUCACUGAUCCAAGUCCAUGGGGGACCAUGUGGCAGAGCCAGAAGUUUAAGCCCGACCUGUUGGCCUCCAGGCCCCUGCCUCUUCACCUAAGCGCAGUGACAGCCUGGAGGCAGGGGAGCCUGAGGAGGGGCGGUGGCAAGUGGGGAGAGCACUCCUGCGACUGGGGACUGGGGAGCACCAACGGAAGCAGAGUCUUUGGGUAAGGAUGUGGGAGACAAGGACGUCAGAGCCACACUUACAGGCGCGGGGGUCUGGGGGUCAGGCUGAGGAGUAGGACGGCCCAAGAGUUAGUCAAAGUGUCUAAGGGAGGCUGGGCUGGUUGGGAGCACUUUUGUGAACGAGCCAGAGGGACACCCUGUGUCUGCCGGCACCUUCCAGAGCUGAGGAAUGACGGAUAAAAGUAGGGCACUGAAAGGCCCCUCUGACAGCCUUGCAUAGGCAGGACUAGAGGGGCUGAAUGGAGGCCAGGAGACAGGGAGGUGGAGGGUUCAAGAAGAGGUUGGGCCGGUCCUGACACCUGGGCAGUGGGGGAGCAGCAGCGAUGGGUGACAGCUGGGGACGGGAGGGGGGCAGUCUGGGUGCUGGCAGCAGGCAGCAGGCGGCCGGGGGGUGUUCACAACGGUGGGAACUUGGAAAUAAGAGAUUUGGUUGGGGGUGGAGGAUACAGAGUUAGGGGACAGCGCAGCUGGGCUGGGGCCAGCGCUGCCAGGGAGGCACAUGUGGACAGGGACGGGCAGUGGUUGUCAAAAUGGACUGUUGGAGAGGGGCCACCUGGUACCUUCUCUGUGCUGGCCGGGCACUUUCUGGUCCCUUGGAGUAUGCUCUUCACACCUCCGCCCAUAGUUUGCAUAGGAGGAAAUCGCAGCUCAGCAUGGUUGAGACACCUGCUUAAGAUCACACGGUGGCAGAGGAGGAACUCUACUGGGGUCGUCUGACUGAAGUCUGUAAUCCUUCCUUGACCCUGCUUCUUAGAAAGAUUUCUAAACUUGCUUUCAAAGCAAGUUCCUAUCAGCAACUCAGCAGGCCUGGUGGGGCAGCCGCCCAUCCUACAGAUGAGGCCACUGAGGCUCUGAGGGGUUGGUGCCUGCCCAGCUCACAGGAGGUACAGAAUAAGUCUGCAGGGGAGCUGGGGCCAAGCCCCAGGUGUCUCCCACCCACCAAAUCAGCUCCGGGUUCUCUGAAAGCUGAGGCUUGGGUGUGCCCGCAGGGUGCCAGGAGUCCAGGCCCGGUUUUGCAUCAGGCCCUGCUCAGAAGGUGUUUCCUCCUUCUCGGGGCAGCUCCUCCGGGCUGCUGGUUGAGUCAGCCUUAGUCCCUUUCUGCUCUGCUCCCCAAGUUCAGCUCGGAAACUCGGCUGCCAGGAGUGCAGGAGAGCCCAGGUCACCCUGCGAAGGUGUCUGAUCCAUACUGGACCCCUACAGGUAACACACCUCAGGGCCAGGGUUCCCUGCCAGUGUCCCAAGGAGCAGACACUGCCACCUGGUAUCCUGGGUACCCUCUGGGGCCUUGGGGGUUGGGGGAGAGGGGAGUGGGUCUGGGACUAGAACAUAUUGACCAAUGGGUCUGUCCCAUAGUAUUGAACCGGAGUGGGGAGGACCGGACACUGGAUUGUGCCUCUAGAAGGACAGAAACUAUAGGGAGGGGGUGCUGCUGGGGACCCUAGGCUCAGAUGCCCACAGCGCAGCCCAGGCGGACCUGCAGGACAUCCUCCACCGCUAUACUCCUACACACGCCGCCCCCGGGGUCCCCGGGGCCCCAGAGCACACAGCACGACACAGCCCAGACACACAUCCAGCAGAGGAAGAAGGACACAGGGCACAUACCACACCGUGCUGUCACCCAGCAAGUCACUGAACACAGACAACAGUCACCCACGCGGCGUCAUGUCAUGACAUGGGCCACCGACACACAGGCAGGGAUACGAUAUUCACACCCACAAAACAAACAGCCUCAGAGACUCCACCGGGUGCAGAGCUGUGGGCCGUACUGAGACUCGCAAGGGCACAACAUCACACAAGUGGGGACCCCGGGCCACAGAAGAGCCCCCCACUGUGCGUGUGCAGCACCCAGCACUUGGAACGCAGCAGAUGUUCGGGAAGUAUUGCUAAUACGGGGCACACGGGCAUUCACACAGGAUUAUACACGGUACUCUGUAAAGACAGCAACCCCAAGCCCGCGGGUUGCGGGGGCAGCAGAGGGAGAAGGCGCUCUCGGGCUUGGGCACUGACUCAGCAGCGGGCACAAGCCAGGACUCGCCUGCCAGAGAACCCUCUUCCCAUCUCAGGCCUGCCUGGUGCCUGGACCUGGCCUGGGAAGGGAUGGGAGGGGCAGCAGGGGAGGAGAGACCGCCCAGGGGGCUCAGGCCAUGCCUCCGCUCUGGCCACGGCUCAGUCACGGGCCCCUUGCCACGUCCACAUGCCCCUCGGAGCUGGGCAAAUGUUUUCCUUCCGGAGUCACCGUGGUACCUGAGCAGCCUGAGCCACUUUGCAGCGCUUGGCCUCCACCGCCAGAUCCAGGUCCUGGGCCAGGGGAAGGGGGAGCAUCCAUGUGGCCAGAGCGGAGGGGCCCAGGGGCUGCAGGCAAGAGGGCAGGGCUGGCAACAGGGGCAUCCCUGGCUGGAGGCCUCAGCGAGAGUGGGUACAGUGGUUACCUCAGCGGGGAGGAAGCGGGGGUGUGGGCCGGGGAGGAGGUUGCCUCAGACAGGAAGGCCAAAUGGGCCAGGGCAGGGUGGAGGUGAAGGGUGGAGGGAGGGAACCCAUAUUGGGAGGUUCCCAGGGAGGGGGCGGUGAGCAGAUAGGUAUGUGUGCCUGUGUGUCUGGGCGUGUGUGUGUGUGUGUGUGUGCCUUCCCCAUGUGUGUACAGGGAUAUGUCUGCAUUCAAUUCAACUUCAACCAACUGUCUGUUGUGGGCAACAUAUGGGCUUUUGGGGUGAGGUCCUGUCCCUGUCUUCAGGGAGCUCACAAUCCAGUUGGUGGAGGGGCAAUGUGCGUGCAAAAGUCAGUGUGAUUUGUGUGUAUCUCGGGUCAUGUUUUUGCCCCGAGUUAUACAUUCUGUGGGGCCUCGUGUGCAGGUUUCAGAAUAUGUCAGGCACAUCCCCUGGUGUGGGCAUGGGUCUGGGACUAAGACCGCAUAGGGUCCUUGGUGGGGGAUGGGUGCGCAUGCGUCUAUCUCUGUAGGUAUUGGUGCACCCAUGUGAUCAGGUGGCCAUCUCACUGUGGGUGCACAUCUUCAAGUGUGUCCGUAUGUCCGUGAGCCAGUGUGUGUGCGGGUCCAUGGGUCCAUGGGUGUAUCUCAUGCCACCUUGAGCUCAGCCUUCCUGGAGUCGUACGGUGCCCACCACCUGGGCAUAUAUUUGGGCAGAAAAGAGCAGCCAGCUCCAGGAUGUGCCCUGUAUUUGGGCAGGGCUUGACCUGCCCCCUUGAUCGCCCCCAGGUCGACAUGUGUGCCCAGCUGGGGCACUGCCCCAGCUGAUGCCCCAGAGGGGCCACCCAUCUCAAGUGGGGCUCCGGGCCCUGCCCGGCCUCCUCAUGGCGCACGAGCCACAGCCUGAGGCUGAUGGAUUGUUGGACCUCAGCUUCCUGACAGACGAGGAGCAGGAGGCCAUUGCCGACGUCCUGAAGCGAGAUGCCCACCUUCGCCAGUUGGAGGAGGGCCGGGUCAGGUGAGGCAGGGCAGGGGAGCCUGGGAGGAUGGGGCCUCGGGCACUGGGAGCCCAAUUGCGCCCCUGCUGCCUCCCGAUGUGUGGCCUGUCAGAUAUCUGGGUGGUUCCUGUUUUUGCCCGUUGGUCACUUCCGCCCUUAACCAGCGCAGCUCUCCACCUCACCCAAGGU